UUUGAUCCUUUCAUGCAUGCUUGAGGAAUCCUUGAAUCUCCCGUGGCAGCCAUUUGCCUCCUGUUUUCACAAAACUCCUCCUUUGAGCUGCGGUCUCCUUCCUGGUGAACUAUGCACCUGCUGGCCGUAUCAUACAGACUGCUUCUCAGUCCAGUGCUCCUAAGAACAGUUGACAACAUAAUAAGAAGCAUUGUUGUGGUGUGUCAGAAAGAGUAGGAGAUUCAUAAAGAGACAGAGGCCCAAUUUCAAAUUUCUUUUAAAUCAUGUAUGAUAUAUAGAGCAUUUUCAAAACUGAAGGUGACAUAUCAAUUGUGCUAUAAAAUGGCUUUACAUACAUGGAAAAUACAUUAUACUGACUUUUUAAAGGUUUGGAAGUGAAAAGAGUUUUGCUAGAUACUCCAGCAUAAUUCUGGGGAAGUGAGAAGAGUCAGUACGAGGAAAGUUCCCAUGAAAUUUGCAGAAGUUUAAUAAUAAGAUUUAUGAACCAUUUCUUUUAAGAUAGUGUGGUGAGGUAUUGCAAAGGUCCAGUUGAAUUAAGGUAAUUCAGAGGAAUGUGGUGCCCCCACAUUAUUUUUGGUUGUUAUAUAAUUUUGAAAUAUUUUCAUAUACAAUUUAUUUAAGUUUUUCAAAAAAUGAAUAAAUUAUAUUUUGUUAGAAUUUUUUGUAAUGUUAUUCUGCCUGUAUUUACAUUGCUUUACUGGGGUUGAGAUGUGGGCAGUAGCGGCGAAGCGGAACCUUUAUAUAGGGGUCGUUGCUUCAGGGUUGGUUUUAUGGCGGACUUCCUGUUUCCCUCAGACACAAUCUGAAGGCAGCGUUUCCGUGGUCUUCGCUGAAUCCCGUUUUACUAUUCUUCAGGUCCUUUCACAAAAAUUGCUCUAUUGUGUACAUCACAGUCCUGACACUUGGGACCUGUAACAUGAAGGAAAAGCGAGAAGUGGGCAAGCAGGUCAACGAAUGUAGUGAAUAGUGUUCCAACAGCUCUCCCAGGAUGGCAGGGGAUAUCUGAACAAAGUUCAUGCAGCAAGUCACAUGUGACAGACAGAGGUAGACUGAAGAAGUCUGCCUUUCACUAUCAACAUUUUUGCAGAAGGUACAUUUAUUUCUGCAGUUGGACCAUUUAAGAAGGUUGCAUUGCAAGUAAUGGAGAAAAAGUCCUUGUGUUUGCACCUGACAAAUUAAACUUCAAAUAAAAAAUCAGUUGCACAGAUAUGGUAGGUGUGGUGCAUGGACACUAUGGUGGGCAUGCUGCAUAUUUCUUUACAUGUCAACAAAUGCUGAAGAAUUAUGUAUGCUAUAGCGUUAAAUGUAUUGUAAAGCAAUGCAUUCUCAUCUUCCCACACUACUGAAGUGCAAGGCAAAAAUCUAAUUGUGUGACAGAGAUAGUUAAUUGUGUAUUCUGUUGAGUUAACCCCUUGCUGCACAAAAGCACUGACAUAUGAGACAAUGGUGUCAUGAAGACACCAGUGUCCUCAAGACAGAGAUUAAUGCAACAUCACUGUCUAAUGAUGCCUGAAAAUAACAGAGGUCUAUUCAAGUAUUAAUUCUGUCAAAAAUAAAAUACCCACUCAAAAUUGACUGGAAUAAGCCAAACAACAUAAACAUGUAUGAACAAAAUGCUGAAAAAAAACACAUCUAUUUCUAUUUCUCAAGAAGUUUCCAUCACUGACCAGACAUGCUUUCUACAUGUGUCUGCUCAUUCUUUUUAAACUUUGCAUUCAGGAGAGUGAAAUGAUUUUUUAAUAUAGAAAAGAUACAGGCAACUAUCUCAUUGCAGUCCAGAGCCUAACAGCUCCCAGUUUGUCUCUCUCCAGGCUUCUGGCCCAGGGCUACCGGCUAUCUCUUCGGAAAAAGGGUCAGCAGGAGCACUCUGCACUCAUAAAACCAAGCCAAUUAACACACCCUCUUUCGGAAACCUGCAUUACUUAUUCAGUAUCCCUGCUUAGGAUCAGGACUGGGUUGAGGGAGGAGAUAGGAAGGAUGCAGGAAGAGAUGAAGGAGAUCAGUGGAUAUGUGGAGUUUAAUUACCAAAGCUCAGCAAGCCAUCUUCAUAGAACUAAUUUCUUGGCAGGAGCCAACGGAAGCAGGCUAGCAGCACCCGGAGCUAGUAUCUGUGUUUCUGACAUGUUACUCAUUCACAGAGGUGUUCUAUUUAACCACACUUAGAUCAGGGUGAAACAACUCCUAUUUGACAAGGCUGACACACUUUAAGAUGAAUAAUGAAGGAAGUGUUUUUGUCAAAUCCCCUAAUUGGUUUAACGGGAAAAAUAAUUUCCUUGUAGUUUGAGGAACUGUCCUUGUUGUCAGGAAGUGACUCAAUGUCCUGUGUAGAUAACUUUCCAAUCAUGAUGUCCUCAAAAUAUCACUAAACAGAAAUGUGUUGGCUUGGUGCAAGGAUAAACACUUAGUUUCACACCAAAAGAAGGAAAUGUGAUUAAGUCCCCACAUUUCCACAUCAAGCGAUAAACAUCAUUAGAUGGAAAUUGCCCCCAUCUAAUUUGUUGUGAAGUGUCUGUGAUGUCACGAUUGGAUGUGCUCCUCUGAAUAAGAUACUGGCAACCUCAGCCUGUUCGAAAAACACUUUGAUUUGAUUGAUCAUGCUAUGUUGUUGGCACCAGUAAUACUGGCAUAACAAAAAUGGAUUCUCUGCUUUAACUAAGCAUUGAGAGAGAAGGAAAGAAGGUCCUAUGACCCAUCUCAGUUUACAAGUGUCAUAAUGUUUAUGUAUUUGUUUGAUAAAAUGACAAAUGCAAUCAAGUACUAGAUUAAGCCAAUAAUCAACAAAACACCAUCAUAUAUACAUUUCUAUAUUACCUAUGCAUGAUUUUUUAAUAAUUUCAGUCUUCAAUAGGAAUUUGAAUCUCUUUGCAUGUCCUGGAUUUGUUCUUAAAUAAUGAACAAACUGUUGUUUAAUUCAAGGGAGUAAAUAUGAUACAUUCUUAAUUCAGAAACAACGACAGGUUCUAUCUUCCCUGACUGCUUCUACUUAUGCAUGAUUUCUCAUUAUGCAGACACUCAAACCUGAUUAAAGGUUCCUUCUUAUGGUAUAGAGCGUUUCUCAUAGCGUUUCUCAUUCCAUAUCACUUUUAUAAAACAGAAUCAGUAUAGAAAACACCAGGUCUCAUGUAGUCAUCAGUUUCUGAGUCUAUUUAACCCAUAUUGAGCACAAUGUUUCCUCACCCUGGCAGCGAUAUUCUUUUGUGUUUACAUAUAUUGAUUUCUAUGAUAUAGUAAACUAAACAUUUCCGUUCUAAGUAUCUCCUCUGACAGUCCCAGUGCCCAGGUCUGUCAUAUAUUUUCAGUACAAACAAAGCAAUGUGCAUAAGUGCACUAUAUCUCUUGAACUGAAGUGGCUAACUGUGUACUUCAGAGAAAACAAGUAGGUGUUAGUCAUUAGUCACUGCUGGGGCUGCUGUUGAUUUUCUAUUUGUGUGGGUGCAUGAUAGAUAUUAUGAGAUUACAGCAAUGAAGAUCACAUCUUCACACUUAUAAUUAACAGAUGACUAGAGGUUGGCUGGAAAGCAAAUGGAUUUCAAUAGAUGAAAACUCUCUAAUGUGAUAGAAAUAAUGCUUUUUUUAAAAAUGAUUUUACUUUAGUGUCCUAGACUUCUCUUCUCUUGAGGUUUGAUAUCAAGAGAAAUAUGUUUUGUUUUAAUAAGAACAAACAGAUUUAUUGAAAUUACAUUGUCUUAAAGUCAGAAGUGAGCACCACAGAUUAGAGAAGAGGACAAGAAUAUGAGGUUUUUUGAUACAAGCGGCCAAAAUGAGUUUCCUCCACAGGGUGUCUGGAUUCUCCCCUAGAGAUCCGGUGAGGAGCUUGGUUAUCCAGGAGAUAACCAAGUUGAGGUGGCUCUGGCAUCUGGUACCCAGGUUGUGCUAGACGGACUGUGUUUCUCCGCUGGGAACACCUUAGGACUCCCCUGGAGGAGUUGUUCCAUAUGGCUGGGGAAAGGGAAGUCUGGGCCUUUCUGUUUAGGCUGCUGCCUCUGUGACAUGAUCCUGGAUUAGCAGAGGAUAAUGGAUGGAUAGAUGGAUCUAACCUGUAUAGCACUUUCAUUAUACUAAAUGUUGAAAGUGCUUUUACACUGGAGGCACAAUGAUACAGUCUUAUACCCUUUUUUUCUUUUCUUUUUUUAACAUGUCCUCAGAAUUGUUGUCUGGGUACCAAGUAGAAGCUCAAUAUAGAGAUGCAUGUAGGUACAUGUGCUUGUUAACCUAAGUAAACUUUAUUUUCCCACAUGA